rnacentral:rRNA from 1 species
GAUGAACGCUAGCGGCAGGCUUAACACAUGCAAGUCGAGGGGUAGAGUUAGCUUGCUAACUUGAGACCGGCGCACGGGUGCGUAACGCGUAUGCAAUCUACCCUGUACAGAGGGAUAGCCCAGAGAAAUUUGGAUUAAUACCUCAUAGUAUCUUCGGAAGGCAUCUUCUGAUUAUUAAAGUUCCAACGGUACAAGAUGAGCAUGCGUCCCAUUAGCUAGAUGGUAAGGUAACGGCUUACCAUGGCAACGAUGGGUAGGGGUCCUGAGAGGGAGAUCCCCCACCCUGGUACUGAGAAACGGACCAGACUCCUACGGGAGGCAGCAGUGAGUACUAUUGGUCAAUGGGCGCAAGCCUGAACCAGCCAUGCCGCGUGCAGGAAGACGGUCCUAUGGAUUGUAAACUGCUUUUAUACGGGAAGAAACACUGCUACGUGUAGCAGCUUGACGGUGCCGUAAGAAUAAGCAUCGGCUAACUCCGUGCCAGCCGCCGCAGUAAAAC